rnacentral:misc_RNA from 1 species
UCUCGGCUUAUCACCGGCAGUCCCCCUAGAGUGCCCAACUGAAUGAUGGCAACUAAGGGCGAGGGUUGCGCUCGUUGCGGGACUUAACCCAACAUCUCACGACACGAGCUGACGACAGCCAUGCAGCACCUGUCACUUGGCUCAAUAAAGCACUCACUACUUUCGUAGUAAUUCCAAGGAUGUCAAGCCCUGGUAAGGUUCUUCGUUUAUCAUCGAAUUAAAGAACAUAAUCCACCGCUUGUGCGGGUCCCCGUCAAUUCCUUUAUGUUUUAGUCUUGCGACCGUACUCCACAGGCGGGAUACUUAACGCGUUAGCUUCGCUACUGAAGGGGUCGAUACCUCCAACAGCUAGUGCCCAACGUUUACGGCAUGGACUAC